rnacentral:rRNA from 1 species
UACGUAGGGGGCAAGCGUUGUCCGGAUUUAUUGGGCGUAAAGAGCGUGUAGGCGGCCAGGUAGGUCAGCUGUGAAAACUCGAGGCUCAACCUCGAGACGCCGGUUGAAACCAUCUGGCUAGAGUCCGGAAGAGGAGAGUGGAAUUCCUGGUGUAGCGGUGAAAUGCGCAGAUAUCAGGAAGAACACCCGUGGCUAAGGCGGCUCUCUAGUACGGUACUGACGCUGAGACGCGAAAGCGUGGGGAGCGAACGGG